GAAGGGGGAGAUAGCCUCUCCCAGAUGGGGUCAACAGUCUCUAGGCUCUGCAAUGGCUGGAUUCCCAUGCAUAUUGGGCUGUCUGUAAAAUAGACGAGAAGGCAAUCAAUGAGGUAUUUCUGAAAGUCCUGGAUAAUUAGAUCAAAUGGUGCAUAUACCUGCGGAUCUGGCUUCACAAGCAAUUAAUCGGGACAUAAACUUUUUCUGGUGUCAUUGUACUUUCUGAUAUGGGGUGAGGCUGCAAAUGUCCACUUUCUUCCUGAAUGCAUUUGCUACAUGUUUGACCAUAUGGCGAAGGAGUUAGAUGCUAUUCCUGCUGCUGGCUGCACAAUAGAAAAUGAUUAUGUGUCCUUCCUCAAGCAGAUUGUUUAUCCUAUGCAUGAAACAUUGGCAGCGGAAGCUGCUAGAAACAAUAAUGGGAAAGCUGCGCAUUUCAGCGUGGCGGAAUUAUGACGACUUCAAUGAAUACUUUUGCUUUGUU